rnacentral:rRNA from 1 species
UACGUAGGGAGCAAGCGUUGUCCGGAAUUAUUGGGCGUAAAGGGCGCGUAGGCGGCCUGGCAAGUGGAAGGUGAAAUCCCUCGGCUUAACCGAGGAACUGCCUUCCAAACUGCUUGGCUUGAGUCCGGGAGAGGUGAGUGGAAUUCCCAGUGUAGCGGUGAAAUGCGUAGAUAUUGGGAGGAACACCAGUGGCGAAGGCGGCUCACUGGACCGGAACUGACGCUGAUGCGCGAAAGCGUGGGGAGCAAACGGG